UACGGGGGGAGCAAGCGUUACUCGGAAUUAUUGGGCGUAAAGGGCGCGUAGGCGAUUUGAAAAGUCUUGUGUGAAAGCCCCGAGCUUAACUCGGGAAGUGCACAAGAAACUGUUGAAUUUGAGUUCCGGAGAGGAAGGCAGAAUUCCCGGUGUAGCGGUGAAAUGCGUAGAUAUCGGGAGGAAUACCAGUGGCGAAGGCGGCCUUCUGGACGGAUACUGACGCUGAGGCGCGAAAGCCAGGGGAGCAAACGGG
rnacentral:rRNA from 1 species